UACGUAGGGGGCUAGCGUUGUCCGGAUUUAUUGGGCGUAAAGAGCGUGUAGGCGGCCAGGUAGGUCUGGUGUGAAAACUCGAGGCUUAACCUCGAGAUGUCAUCGGAAACCAUCUGGCUAGAGUCCGGAAGAGGAGAGUGGAAUUCCUGGUGUAGCGGUGAAAUGCGCAGAUAUCAGGAGGAACACCUAUGGCGAAGGCAGCUCGCUGGGACGUUACUGACGCUGAGACGCGAAAGCGUGGGGAGCAAACAGG
rnacentral:rRNA from 1 species